CGAGCCCUGCUGUGUGCGUGGACCGCUCCGAUAUGUUUUGAGCCAACACCAAAACAUAGGGAGCCGAAACCUCAGUUGACGGCCGUCCUGCCCCCGCUAGCGAUAGCGCCAGGGGACUGCGAAAGUUAACGGGAGGCACCCACCUGCUGUCGAGCAGGUUCAAAACGUCGGUCAUGACACGGCAUGGUGGGGAACGA
rnacentral:other from 1 species